CGAUAUUUAGCGAAAUAUUCGAUCGAAUUCAAAACAUAUACUUUUAAUACGAAUAGAUGGCCAUUGAAAAUCGGUGCAAAAUCUUUAUUUCUAUUUUUAAAGUUCGAACUAAAUCGAACAAAUUCGAAUUGUCCACAGCCAUCAAUUUCCAUCGACCCGUGCUGUAAAACUAAUAUCUUUAAAAUGUUUCUAUAGCGCAACACGAAAGCCUUUAAAGUCCUCAAUUGUCGUCGCGUCGUGCACGUGCUCCGCGAUAAAAGUAUGCCGAGAAGAAGUUUAUCGAUAAGUCGAAAAGUUGUUCCGCAGCCCGGGGGGGAAAGGUAACGAUUACGCCCUCGCCCCGCCAAGAAGCGUAAUUAGAGAGUCGUUUAAAGGGCAAUUUGCAGGGGAGGGAUCGUUGGACGAGGGUGAAAUUUGGAAAAAUCUUUGAAAGCAUUGUGCAGCGUUGAUUUUCGUUGGCGUGAUACACUUCGACGAGAUGAAAAUGAAAAUUGGAAUGUAUUUACGAUUGAUCUUUUCCCGUCGAGUUACUACUUCCGGUUUUUUUCCACGACGAGAAGGUAUAUCGGAAUUACGAGUGCCAUUAAGGGUUGUAGGGACGGGGGUCGGGAAAACGACUAUGCGGGGAACCUCUUUACGAGCAAUGUCCCCUGCUGACAGAAGAGAAUCGAGUUUAAGCGCUUUCACAGGUCGCAUCGAGAAGCCUUUUACCAUGGCCUGGUCCCCAUGGAGG